UUCAGUUGGUGAGCCUUCUAUAUUUCAGAAGGCCUAGUUGUUUUCAGUCAUUUAUCAUUUAUUAUGGUUUUGAUCUAUUGGGGGCCUUGUCCUAGUUUUCAGAUAGCUUUGAUUUGAUCAUGUAGUAGAGAUUUCACAGACUGGUUCAGACAUUGUCUAGUUGUUGUUGGGCUUUACUUUCUAUAUUAUAAAUUGAAUUCAGACUUAUGAC
rnacentral:lncRNA from 1 species